AUAUUCAUUUGGUCAAAGCACCUGCUGCCCUCCAAGAGGAUCCUUCCCUCACUCUUCCAAAGAUGAAAAUAAAGGUUUCUCAAUCACAAACGGAGGACCGCAUGGAAGAAUAAUGUGAAUGCAGGCAAUCCUCUCACAUGGUGGCAUAGAAAACUCAAUUCAACACCUUCUUAUGCUAUAAUUAGUUUAUUAAUGGUGCCUGUGGUUGGUAAAAUGCAGUACUUGAUAGGAUGGAACGUUAGAUAGAUUUAUCCGCUUAGCUGAAAUUGUCAUGUCUGUUUUGACAGCUUGUUUUAUUAUUUGUUGUGAUAAUGGAAGCUUCAAGAAGGGAUCAUAUUCGCUGGUACAUUGGACUUGAUGAAAAUAUACCUGUAUUUUGCAUGUUAUUAAGCAUCGAGAGAAUAGUGGUUCACUGGAUUGCUAUGAUUUGCAAGUGUGGCUUCGUUUUGUUGGCUAUGAAUUCACUACUGUUGAGUGCAGCAUGAUUUGCAUCCUAGACUAUAGUAGUAGGAAUCUUAUGUUUAGAAUGCCGCACCUGCAUUAGAAUCUCUAACUAAACUUGCUUCUAUUCUUGUUAUGCACGUCUUUCCUUUCCUGUACUAUUCAAAUUGCCCUAUUUUUUCUAGUAAGGGGUUCCUUUGCUGCUAGCACUUGAUGAAGGUGACGACUGCUAAGUUACUUUCUGAACUUGCUUGCAGUUUAUGCAACUAAAUUUUAGAUUAUCAUUGGACUAUUUAGGAGUUGCUAGCUUGCCGGCAUGAUGGUUAUCAUGAUUUUAGUAAUAGUGAUAUACAAGAGUAGCAGCCACAAUCCAAACUCUUUUACACCAAGUUUGAAAGAAUCAGUUUCUGAAGACGACAUAAUAGUUGUCUCAAUUGCUGUGAUUAGUUUCAUUUUCGAAUGACAUGAUUGGUUAGAACAGAGACAUAGCUGGUUAUGUUUUGGACACUUCUAGUAAUUCUCUUGAGUUGGCUUUGUAUAUCUUGGCAACUAGACAAAGUCUUGAAAUUGUUUGGCACACUAUCUAAAGGACUAGGUUCUCCUUUUUCUUUUUUUUAAAUCUGGGAUAGGUAGAAGUUCUCAGACUUUCUAUGGCAAUGCCUAGAUACUUCUUAAUAAAAAUGUGCUAAAUUAGCCCAACAAAAACAAAACAAGUGGGGUUAAAUUUUUCUCCAAUUCUUGGUAGCUCCAACGAGUAGUCCAGGAUUCAAAAUAUUAAGAGAGCAGUGUUAUUAGCAGCUAUGUUGUGUGUUGUGCACAAAGAUUGUUGAAUUGAGCUGAACCGGUCGAUUCAGCUAGAAUCGAGCUGGCCCGGUCGUGUCCGAUUCGAAUCGGUACCGAACCAUACCAACCGCCGACCAGUAUGGGUCUCGGUACCAGUUCGACGAAUCUUAGUUAUGCACGUGCGAGCACUGUUAUGAAGCUUACUAUUUUCAUGACACUUCUAAAAGAUGCACUCUACUCAGUAGUAUCCAGACAAUAAUAUGCCCAUCCAUGACAUCUCGGAUCAAGUAUAUGUUCUUCAUUGUUUAGUAGCUUGUGCUACAUACUAUGACAACCAAGCAUCACAAGAUCAAUGCUUUGUGCAUAGAAUGGAGAUGUUCUAAUUCAAUUGAACUAGGAUUUGGCCCGCAUAAUCGAAAAUGAUUCUUUGAUUUUUGUAUGAACUACUGAGCAUGUAUGAACUGCAAACAUACCGCUUGCUCGCACGUGUAUGUUUAGCAAUCUUUUUUCAAUGAUCAAUUGCUUUUAUUAAAAUAAUCAAUUUUCUUUAUUGUAGAAAUGAAAAUAUAAAUAUAUCUCAUCCUAUUUUUUGAUCUUUUUUUAAAAAAAUUAUUAUUUAACAUAAUCUGAAUUUUCUCCAAUCCUCUCUUUCUAGAUCCUCCACCCUUCUGUUCUGCUGAGUUCGAAGCUAUUGCAGUAUUGGCACUCAAAAUAACUUCUGGUCUUUGCCUAAACUAGCUUUGUGCUUUACAAUUACAUGCUUAAUCCUGAGAUUUUUUCUCAGAACAAUGACCUCAUUGUUUCCCUUCUGUUAUCCCAGCUUACUGAAAGCAUUGGGUUGGUUAAAUUUGAAGUGAAGAAGCGCAAAUUCCUUCUUGUAUCUGCACUAGAGUUCUAUCUGAAAGGAGAAUUGAGCAUUGCAAUGGACUCCAUUUUUGUAGCUGGCUUGGUUUCAUCGCUUCCUUCAGGACUCAUUGCCAUGGAAUUGUUAGUUGACGAUGAUCUCUUUUUCCUCUCUACAUGAAAAAGGGAAGGGCAAAGGCCCCACAGUGUUUAAUAAGGAAGCCAAGUACAAGAUAGUUUAAGGUGGUAUAGGAAUAUGAGGAUUGGAACCUGAG
rnacentral:lncRNA from 1 species